rnacentral:rRNA from 1 species
GCCUUUGAAUACAGAGAACUCCCAGAGAAGAUUGGGCUUUCGGGAAUUAAAAUACAGGUGCUGCAUGGCUGUCGUCAGCUCGUGUUGUGAGAUGUUGGGUUAAGUCCCGCAACGAGCGCAACCCUUUUCCUUAUUUGCCAGCAUUUCGGAUGGGAACUUAAGGAUACUGCCAGUGACAAACUGGAGGAAGGCGGGGACGACGUCAAGUCAUCAUGGCCCUUACGGCCAGGGCUACACACGUGCUACAAUGGUCGGUACAAAGGGUUGCUACUCCGCGAGCGGAUGCUAAUCUCAAAAAGCCGAUCGUAGUCCGGAUCGCAGUCUGCAACUCGACUGCGUGAAGUCGGAAUCGCUAGUAAUCGCGGAUCAGAAUGCCGCGGUGAAUACGUUCCCGGGCCUUGUACACACCGCCCGUCACACCAUGGGAGUGGGUUGCACCAGAAGUAGGUAGUCUAACCGCUAAAGAGGGCGGUUACCACGGCUGUGG